CAGUGGGGAGGAGGCAGCCACGCCAGCAUGGUGAGAUCCAAGCCGCAGUGACGGGGCUGCACUCGCUCCAGGUAGAUUGCUCAAAUGGAAGCUUCUGGAUGGAUAACUAAGGCAGCACAACCCCCAGUCAUUGUCUGAGGGCCACCCUGGGGGAUGGAGCGAGUGCAGGCCAAGUGGAUGCAGGGCCCACGGCCAGUUUCCAGGGUGAGCUGCAGGGCAAGCCGUGGGAAGCCCCAGAGGCAGACGCUGAGGGAUGGGCACCCCAAGAGAGUCCAGGGAUCCGAGGCCACCUGGGUGGAGCCCGGACAGCGUCUACUCCAGGGAGCAAAGCUGAGGCAGGAGCCGAGGGCUUUCCAGUGGAUGUGGAGACUUCGGCUUACUCCCGCACUGACUUUAUCCCAUUUCUGAGCCUGUCGGCACGUGUAGAGCAUUUUGGGCUCAGUUUCUCUAGAGACUAACUGUGGCCUCCCAUGGGGUGGGGACAGGACAGUCUCCCGGCUGCAUGGAAUGGGAUGCCGACCGAGGGACGGGCUCUCUCUUAAAGACUUGCCACCACACCUCUCUUGUCCAUGCCAGGCUUCUGGGGUCCCCUCUGCUGCAGGUGCUUCGGGAGUCUCAGUGGUUCUUCAGGGCAAAGCUGGCCCUGACCGUGUGCUGCAUGCCCGGAGGUCUGACAUCGGUGCUGCUGAGUGGCCUGCCGUGGUUCUCUUGGUUUCCCAUCUUGCAAAGAGUCGGUGAACUCUCACCUGCUCUUGUCUCCUCGUCUCUGUGCCCUGUCCUCCUGCGGGGCUUGGGAAACCAUAGGUGAUAAACACAUGAGCCAAUCUGCCAUCUCCACUGGAGCCAAUGCUCUUUCUGUGUUCCCAUUGGCCUGCCUAGGACUGAGGUCAGCUCCAGGGUCAGAGGCAGGACUGGAGUUGGGUUCUAACUGAGGCAGAGACAGGGCUUGGGAGAAGAAAUCAAGGUGGAGGGCAGAGGCUCCAGGUCUUUGCCAGGCUCACCUCAGAAGUGGGUGUGUCAGGCUGUCCAGAGUGGAGUGCACAGAAGCUGGGGCUUUGACAAGGGCAGGGUGACCAGUCCAGGCUGGCCUCAAAGGCAAGAGCUUGACUGCAGGGCCAGCAGGCGUGUGAUGUGGGUGGGCCCUAAGGAGGCUGAGGGAGAGGAUAAACUGUGAAGAGCCAGCAGCCCAGAAGCUAAAUGCAGGGAGGCAGAGAAGACAGGAGAGAUGGAGGCUUGCAGGACCUGGUGGUUGGGGAGGGCCAGUGACCAGGUGUUUAGAAGCAGCACCUCCUGUGAUUGGGGCUGAGGGUGAACUCUGCUUUCAAGCAGAGGUGGUUUGUCGUGGGUCUUCCAUGAUGACACCAGGUCAAGGUUUACCCAACAGAGCCUCCAGAUGCUCAGAGUCUUGCAGGCUCAGAACAAGAAUUGUCAACUUGCCAAGAUGAAUCUGUCUCUCGGGGGAGGACCCACACAGAACAAACGUUUGAAGCAGAAGUUUGCUUGGUAAACAUGGAAUCGGAACAUGGGAAUUGGGCCACUGGGAUAUUCAAUUGCGUCAGACCAUUGUAGCUGAUACUCCUGGACAGAGGGGCUUUGCCAACUGGACAGAUAUAUGAAGUGUUGCUGACCGAGCUCCUUGCUCUGUGUGGGAGGGAUCUUGCCAGCUCCAGCCUUGGUGGGUCUCCUUUUUCUGUUUCCAAGCUUAAAUAAGCACUUGGCUGUUCUGAUUAGCACUUUUAAAAGCUGUGUUAAUAAGUUCAAUUAAAAUAGAAGAAUCUCU
rnacentral:lncRNA from 1 species